GUGCUCACUUCUGCAUCACAUAUGCUAAAAUUGGAACAAUACACAGAAGAUCAGCGUGGUCCCUGCACAAAGAUGACACACAAAUUCGUGAAGUGUUCCAUAUUUAU